UGGGGAAUUUUGGACAAUGGGCGAAAGCCUGAUCCAGCAAUGCCGCGUGUGUGAAGAAGGCCUUCGGGUUGUAAAGCACUUUUGCCCGGAAAGAAAUCCUUGGCUCUAAUACAGUCGGGGGAUGACGGUACCGGAAGAAUAAGCACCGGCUAACUACGUGCCAGCAGCCGCGGUAAUACGUAGGGUGCAAGCGUUAAUCGGAAUUACUGGGCGUAAAGCGUGCGCAGGCGGUUUGCUAAGACCGAUGUGAAAUCCCCGGGCUCAACCUGGGAACUGCAUUGGUGACUGGCAGGCUAGAGUAUGGCAGAGGGGGGUAGAAUUCCACGUGUAGCAGUGAAAUGCGUAGAGAUGUGGAGGAAUACCGAUGGCGAAGGCAGCCCCCUGGGCCAAUACUGACGCUCAUGCACGAAAGCGUGGGGAGCAAAACAGGAUUAGAUACCCUGGUAGUCCACGCCCUAAAACGAUGUCAACUAGUUGUUGGGGAUUCAUUUCCUUAGUAACGUAGCUAACGCGUGAAGUUGACCGCCUGGGGAGUACGGUCGC
rnacentral:rRNA from 1 species